rnacentral:rRNA from 1 species
UACAGAGGGGGCAAGCGUUGUUCGGAAUUGCUGGGCGUAAAGGGCUCGUAGGUGGCCAACUAAGUCAGACGUGAAAUCCCCAGGCUCAACUUGGGAACUGCGUCUGAUACUGGAUGGCUUGAAUUCGGGAGAGGGAUGCAGAAUUCCAGGUGUAGCGGUGAAAUGCGUAGAUAUCUGGAGGAAUACCGGUGGCGAAGGCGGCAUCCUGGACCGAGAUUGACACUGAUGAGCGAAAGCUAGGGGAGCAAACGGG